rnacentral:rRNA from 1 species
GAUGAACGCUGGCGGCGUGCCUAAUACAUGCAAGUCGAGCGAACGGACGAGAAGCUUGCUUCUCUGAUGUUAGCGGCGGACGGGUGAGUAACACGUGGAUAACCUACCUAUAAGACUGGGAUAACUUCGGGAAACCGGAGCUAAUACCGGAGAAUAUUUUGAACCGCAUGGUUCAAAAGUGAAAGACGGUCUUGCUGUCACUUAUAGAUGGAUCCGCGCUGCAUUAGCUAGUUGGUAAGGUAACGGCUUACCAAGGCAACGAUGCAUAGCCGACCUGAGAGGGUGAUCGGCCACACUGGAACUGAGACACGGUCCAGACUCCUACGGGAGGCAGCAGUAGGGAAUCUUCCGCAAUGGGCGAAAGCCUGACGGAGCGACGCCGCGUGAGUGAUGAAGGUCUUCGGAUCGUAAAACUCUGUUAUUAGGGAAGAACAGAUGUGUAAGUAACUGUGCACAUCUUGACGGUACCUAAUCAGAAAGCCACGGCUAACUACGUG